rnacentral:lncRNA from 1 species
CUUUUACGUCGGCCUUCGCGAGCGUCUGGGCGGGUGGUAGGUGAGUGGGUAUUGCGGGCUAGUAUCCGAGCAAAAGAUGGUGGCGCAGGCCGAGUUAAGAGCUUUAAUCCUGUGAAGACAUCUUAGUGAAGAGUUUAGAGUGCUGAGAGUUGAAAGCUUGCACGUGGGAAACGUGCGGCCGGACUGCCACAUGUACUGAGGUUGAGUCGUGACGGCCACAGGCUCCGAGUUUUGGCGUGAGGAACCGCUGAUCGGCCACGGGCGCCGAACUUGCUGGCCUCCGGCAUGUGCCUGAGCGGCGGCGGAAAAACCACCUUAAUUGGGGCGGAGGGUUAGUUUUAACAGCAAAGGGCCUUUACUAAAAUGGCGAAGGCCUUCCGUCGGCGUUGUUUUAAAAUGGGAAGCCUCGACCCUGUAUUGAAACUGAGCUGUUCGAAGGCGGCGUUGUGUGCAAUUCGGAUUAAUGAAGGGGAAGGGUUUUGUGUGGAAAAACGCCUUGGAGUGUGACAUUUCUGCGAGAAUGCUUAAAUACCGAUUUCCCGCAGGAACAAUGGCGCUGUCUUCAGUGGCACAGUGGAGCAGCUCUGAAGAUGCAAAGGUAAGAGCUUAGUUAAGCUUAGUUUCCAAACUAAAGGAGUAAACCUGUUGAUUUACAGGAAUAGGAACUGUUGCAUCGUUUGAAAUUUACUUUUUUUUGUUAGAUACACGAAAAAACUUCCAGAACAUCUGGGAGAAUAUUUAAUGGAAAAUCGCUUGGUUAAAACCUGACACUUUUAACAGGUAUGUGUUGUUUUAGUACUUUAUGAUUGAGCAUAGCAUUUAAUCCACACCUAGACUAAAUCAAAUUUUUUUUGUCAGUGAACAGCGUUCUGAGUGUGGACGAGUAGCCAGUGAAGAUAAUGAAUGUCGAAUGUGACUGACUAGCAGCUUCAUUUUGAAGUAGGUUGUAUGGCUUAAAAGUUCUGUAGUAUUUGUACUAUAAUACUUGCCUUUUAGCAUUACCUUGGUUUGUAGUCAGUGUCACAGAAGUGCAGUUUAAUGUAUUAUGUGUACAUAUACAAGGUCUGAUUGGUCUAAUCAAUGAUGAAACCUAUCCCGAAGCUGAUAACCUGAAGAAAAAUAAGUACGGAUUCGGCUUCUGAGAUUAAGACCAGUAAUUCAGAGGUGGAGUAAAUUUUGUUGCCGUGAUUUUAUAACAGUUGUGUUAUAAAAUCCUGGGUUUUUUUUUUUUCUGCCAACAGUGAGGGUCGCUGUCUGCCCAUUGAUAGAGGCCAGAUUGUCUUGGAAGUUCCAAAGUUGCAACGAUUUCUGGCUAGUGCCACGAGGUUUACUUGACUGUUGUGUGAAAAGCUGAUAAGAAAACCAUCCAGAAAAAAGCUCUUCGUUUUACAAACAUGAAAAUAAAACAUGUAAUUUUGGA